UCUAAACCCCGUAUAUAAACAGAUGUAUAACCAAAAAGAGAUUCACACAACCUGUAGAUCUCUCUCUGCUCGACUGAUAACAGCUUUGACUUUGAGGAAAGAAGAUGAAGUGUGCUAUGAUGUUCCUGGUGUUGACGCUGGUGGUCCUCAUGGGUGAACCUGGGGAGGGUUUCCGAUUUUGGCAUCAUUUCGGUCAUGUAUUGAAUGCUGCCGAAAGAGUCCAUAGAAUGACCGGAGAAGAACUUGAAGCGAUGAAAGCGCAGGAAGUGAUGAAAGCGAUGAACGCGCAGGAAGUGAUGGAACAACGUGCGUUCCAACAAGAGAACGACUUUGCCUGAGUACAUGAUGGUCCAUCUGAAAAAUAAAUGCUUUCUUCUGCUUUUUUCUUCAACAUAAAAAUGUAAUCAACCUAUGUUUUAAAUUGAUCUUCUUGUCAUUUGGAAUAAAUCUACAUUGCAUUACACAAAU